AAUAUUGGACAAUGGGCGAAAGCUUGAUCCAGCCAUGCCGCGUGUGUGAAGAAGGGUUUCGGAUUGUAAAGCCCUUGAAGUUGGGAGGAAGGGCAGUAGGUUAAUACCUUGCUGUUUUGACGUUACCGACAGAAUAAGCACCGGCUAACUUCGUUCCAGCAGCCGCGGUAAUACGAAGGGUGCAAGCGUUAAUCGGAAUUACUGGGGGUAAAGCGCGCGUAGAUGGUUUGAUCAGUUGGAUGUGAAAGCCCCGGGCUCAACCUGGGGAUUGCAUCCAAAACUGUCUGACUAGAGUAUGGCAGAGGGUGGUGGAAUUUCCUGUGUAGCGGUGAAAUGCGUAGAUAUAGGAAGGAGCACCAGUGGCGAAGGCGACCACCUGGGCUAAUACUGACACUGAGGUGCGAAAGCGUGGGGAGCAAACAGG
rnacentral:rRNA from 1 species